GUCGAUUAUGGAAUCAAUAAAAAACACAGGCUUUCACUGAAGGGGAGCCCCAAGAGCCAAUAGACGAGAAACACCCGAUCUUACGGCUCACUAGGGAAACGGAAGACAUGUCAGCUGGGAAAUGCAGUUCUCACAUAAUCGGCACACCUUGAACUCAAUGUCGAGUCUCAGCUAGAACAUGGUGAAACAAAGCCUCUCCCACUGGGCUUGUAGGAAUAUAAAUGUUUGCACUUUUAGAGGAGGAACUGGCAAUUUCUAGUAAAGCUGAGCUCUGCCUGUGUUUCAAUCCUGCCAUUCUACUUACAGAAUUAAAAUCUAUUUAAAAGACCUGAACACGUGUACAGAAAUGGAAAACCUUCCUUCCCCCGUUCUCCUCCUCCUUACCCUAUGCACAAAGUGUCACCAAAGAAGAAGUUUGUUUAGAGGGUGACUAUGGUUUCUCACCUAGCCUCCCAGCAGUUCUGUAUGACCAGGGUGGCUGUCUCUGACCGUGGAACUAAGAUCUGGCCAAUGGGAUAUACUGCCAUAUAAAAUGGAUAGCACAGAUGAAGGGAAUGGCGGUGCCACAGGAAGACAAGAACUCAGGUCUUUGGAUGAACUCAUGGAGCAGAACUCUGAACACCUUCCAUCCAGUUUAGAUUUCUUCAUAAAAGAGAAAAUAAAAUUAUUGGUUUAAAUCACUCUUAUUUUUGUUUUUGUUAAGGCAGCCAUACACUGUUUUAACUAAUAAACUACUUCAUAGAUUUGUUGAGAAGGUUGAAUGAAUGAAUGCCUCUGAAGGGCUUCGACUAGAGCCCGCCAUAUACUAAAGCCCGGAGCUUCCCAGAUGGCUCAGUGGUAAAGAAUCCGCCUACCAACGCAGGGGACGAAAGAAACGUGGGUUUGAUCCCUGGGUUGGGACGAUCCCCUGGAGUAGGAAAAGGCAACCCUCUCGAGUAUUCUUGCCUGGAAAAUUCCAUGGACAGGGGAACCUGCUGGGAUACUGUCCAUGGGGUCCCAAAGAGUCGGACACAACUAAGCCCGCAUGCAGAGUAUACUAAAAGUUCGAAGCGUAUAAGAUUUACCACUCUUAAUAUAUUUCCAAACUGAAAGAAAUUUUCUCCCUCCAUAAGCCUAUAGCCCAUUUUAGAUAUUUGUAUUACAUAGUGCCAUCAUCACUCAAUUUCAUGCCUUUAAUUGGGAUUCAUUUUGAAGAAUUUGUCGGAGAGCCUACACUGCUGCUUCUAGCAUCUCCACUAGUCUCACAGACGAUUAAAAAAAACAAACUCUUGCUCUAAGUUUUACCAAGAGACUGACUAUUUUCAACCACAAUCCCUUCACAAUUGUUUCUACAACCAUAAGGAAACCACGAUCACGUCAUCCCACGGCCCAGAUCCUGUGUGGUUUUGUCCGCUAAAUGCCAAACACAUUUAUGGGUCUUCCCACUUCCCCUGUUGAUAACUUCUCCCCGUUGGUUUCCUGGGAUGUCACAUACACUUAUUUUCCCUUAUUUCCUCAAUUAGCACCUCAAGAUACUGUGCAUUUUAAAAAUUUUCUUGGAUGUGAUUUUCCUGUCUCAUCACCUCGUUAAAUGUCACUCAGUUCAUAUUUCAGCUCACACACACCCUCUUCAGAGAGCUGCGGAUGGCCUUUCAGACUGUUAGACAUCUGUUAAUUCUCUCAGAGCAACUUGGUGGCACAUUCAUCG
ensembl:lncRNA